CCUACGGGUGGCAGCAGUGAGGAAUAUUUUUCAAUUUUCUUUAUACUUAACCAGCCAAUCCUCGUGAGGGAUGAAGGUACAGAGUAUCGUAAACCUCUUUUGUCAGGGAACAAAGGCGGGGACGUGUCCCCGGAUGAGUGUACCUGAAGAAAAAGCAUCGGCUAACUCCGUGCCAGCAGCCGCGGUAAUACGGAGGAUGCGAGCGUUAUCCGGAUUUAUUGGGUUUAAAGGGUGCGCAGGCGGUCUGUUAAGUCAGCGGUCAAAGCCCGGGGCUCAACCCCGGCCCGCCGUUGAAACUGGCAGUCUCGAGUUGGAGAGAGGUAUGCGGAAUGCGCGGUGUAGCGGUGAAAUGCAUAGAUAUCGCGCAGAACUCCGAUUGCGAAGGCAGCAUGCCGGCUCCACACUGACGCUGAGGCACGAAAGCGUGGGUAUCGAACAGGAUUAGAUACCCGAGUAGUC
rnacentral:rRNA from 1 species